GACGUAGGUGGCGACCGUUAUCCGGAAUUAUUGGGCGUAAAGGGUGCGUAGGCGGCAUGAUAAGUUAUUGGCGGGAAAUCGAGGCUCAACCUCGUGGAAACUAAUGAUACUGUUUUGCUUGAGUACAGGAGAGGUUAACGGAACUCCAUGUGGAGCGGUAAAAUGUGUAGAUAUAUGGAAGAACAUCAAUAACGGCGAAGGCAGUUAACUAUUCUGUUACUGACGUUGAGGCACGAAAGCGUGGGGAGCAAAACGG
rnacentral:rRNA from 1 species